UGAGGAAUAUUGGACAAUGGGCGCAAGCCUGAUCCAGCCAUGCCGCGUGCAGGAUGACGGUCCUAUGGAUUGUAAACUGCUUUUAUACGGGAAGAAACCCUGGCUCGUGAGCCAGAUUGACGGUACCGUAGGAAUAAGGAUCGGCUAACUCCGUGCCAGCAGCCGCGGUAAUACGGAGGAUCCAAGCGUUAUCCGGAAUCAUUGGGUUUAAAGGGUCCGUAGGCGGUUUUAUAAGUCAGUGGUGAAAUCCGGUAGCUCAACUAUCGAACUGCCAUUGAUACUGUAAGACUUGAAUUAUUGUGAAGUAACUAGAAUAUGUAGUGUAGCGGUGAAAUGCUUAGAUAUUACAUGGAAUACCAAUUGCGAAGGCAGGUUACUAACAAUACAUUGACGCUGAUGGACGAAAGCGUGGGGAGCGAACA
rnacentral:rRNA from 1 species